rnacentral:rRNA from 1 species
UACGGAGGGGACUAGCGUUGUUCGGAAUUACUGGGCGUAAAGCGCACGUAGGCGGAUUUGUAAGUCAGGGGUGAAAUCCCGGGGCUCAACCUCGGAACUGCCUUUGAUACUGCAAAUCUCGAGUCCGGAAGAGGUGAGUGGAAUUCCUAGUGUAGAGGUGAAAUUCGUAGAUAUUAGGAAGAACACCAGUGGCGAAAGCGGCUCACUGGUCCGGUACUGACGCUGAGGUGCGAAAGCGUGGGGUGUAAACUGG